UCAGAAUGAACGCUAGCGGCGGGCUUAACACAUGCAAGUCUAGGGGUCUACGCGAAAACGUAGAAACCGGCGAACGGGUGAGUAACGCGUACGUAAUCUGCCUGUUGCAGGAGGAUAGCCUGAGGAAACUCGGAUUAAUACUCCAUAAUAUGUUUAAAACAUAUGUUUAAAACAUCAAAGUAUUGUCGGCAAUAGAGGAGCGUGCGUCCGAUUUAUGCUAGUUGGUAGGAUAAAAGCCUCCCAAGGCUACGAUUCGGUAGGGGACCUGAGAGGGUGACCCCCCACACUGGUACUGAGACACGGACCAGACUCCUACGGGAGGCAGCAGUGAGGAAUAUUGGUCAAUGGAGGAAACUCUGAACCAGCUACGCCGCGUGCAGGAGGAAGGCCUUAUAGGGUCGUAAACUGCUUUUGUAGGGGAAUAAAGUAUUCUCCAUUGAGAAUUUUGAAUGUACUCUACGAAUAAGUAUCGGCAAACUCCGUGCCAGCAGCCGCGGUAAUACGGAGGAUACUAGCGUUAUACGGAUUUAUUGGGUUUAAAGGGUGCGUAGGCGGUUCAUUAAGUCAGGAGUGAAAUCUUGCAGCUUAACUGUUAAAAUUGCUAUUGAUACUGAUGGACUGGAAUUAUAUCGGAGUAGCUGGAAUAUGUGGUGUAGCGGUGAAAUGCAUAGAUAUCACAUAGAACACCGAUCGCGAAGGCAAGCUACUAGGUCUAUAUUGACGCUGAGGCACGAAAGCGUGGGGAGCAAACAGGUGAAUACCCUGGUAGUCCACGCUGUAAACGAUGAUCACUAACUAUUGGAUCUUUAGUGUAUUCAGUGGUAAAGCGAAAGUGUUAAGUGAUCCACCUGGGGAGUACGAUCGCAAGAUUGAAACUCAAAGGAAUUGACGGGGGCCCGCACAAGCGGUGGAGUAUGUGGUUUAAUUCGAUGGUACGCGAGGAACCUUACCAAGGCUUAAAUGCGUUACGAAAUAAACUAGAAAUAGUUUGCUUCUUUAGGACGGAACGCAAGGUGUUGCAUGGUUGUCGUCAGCUCGUGCCGUGAGGUGUUAGGUUAAGUCCUUUAACGAGCGCAACCCCUGUCGUUAGUUACCAUCAGGUAAUGCUGGGAUCUCUGACGAGACUGCCGACGCAAGUCGUGAGGAAGGUGGGGAUUACGUCAAAUCAUUACGACUCUUAUGUCUUGGGCUACACACGUACUACAAUGGUCGGUACAAAGAGCUGCCACUGAGCAAUCAGGAGCUAAUCUCUAAAAGCCGAUCUCAGUUCGGAUUGGAGUCUGCAACUCGACUCUAUGAAGUUGGAAUCGCUAGUAAUCGCGUAUCAGCCAUGACGCGGUGAAUAUGUUCUCGGGCCUUGUACACACCGCCCGUCAAGCCCGGGGAAUCGGUGGGACUUGAAGUCGGUGUCC
rnacentral:rRNA from 1 species